ensembl:misc_RNA 7SK 7SK RNA
AGAGUUGAUCAGGCCAACCUAGCUGGCUAGGAAGGCAUUCCCUCCCUCUCUCAAUGCUCUAUCUGUGUCUUCCCAGAAGUUGUGCUCAGCUAAGAUGAUGUCCUUCCUUGACUGAGAACCAUUCUUCAGUGAUGGGUAUAAGAAGCGACAGUGCUCCCCUGCUGGAACCUCCAAAUGAGCCCUCAAGUCACGGCUUAGUAUUUAAGAAACAUUUGAGGUUCCUUCUGCAAAGCAAUCCCAUAAUAAAACAACUACAACCUAGGACCCUGAGAAACAGCCACUACUA